GAUGAACGCUGGCGGCGUGCCUAAUACAUGCAAGUCGAGCGAACAGACGAGGAGCUUGCUCCUUUGACGUUAGCGGCGGACGGGUGAGUAACACGUAGGUAACCUACCUAUAAGACUGGGAUAACUUCGGGAAACCGGAGCUAAUACCGGAUAAUAUUUCGAACCGCAUGGUUCGAUAGUGAAAGAUGGCUUUGCUAUCACUUAUAGAUGGACCUGCGCCGUAUUAGCUAGUUGGUAAGGUAACGGCUUACCAAGGCAACGAUACGUAGCCGAUCUGAGAGGGUGAUCGGCCACACUGGAACUGAGACACGGUCCAGACUCCUACGGGAGGCAGCAGUAGGGAAUCUUCCGCAAUGGGCGAAAGCCUGACGGAGCAACGCCGCGUGAGUGAUGAAGGUCUUCGGAUCGUAAAACUCUGUUAUUAGGGAAGAACAAACGUGUAAGUAACUGUGCACGCCUUGACGGUACCUAAUCAGAAAGCCACGGCUAACUACGUG
rnacentral:rRNA from 1 species